rnacentral:rRNA from 1 species
AGCGAACGCUGGCGGCAGGCUUAACACAUGCAAGUCGAACGCCCCGCAAGGGGAGUGGCAGACGGGUGAGUAACACGUGGGAACCUACCCUUUGGUUCGGAAUAACUUGGGGAAACUCAAGCUAAUACCGGAUAAGCCCUUAUGGGGAAAGGUUUACUGCCGAAGGAUCGGCCCGCGUCUGAUUAGCUAGUUGGUGAGGUAAUGGCUCACCAAGGCGACGAUCAGUAGCUGGUCUGAGAGGAUGAUCAGCCACACUGGGACUGAGACACGGCCCAGACUCCUACGGGAGGCAGCAGUGGGGAAUAUUGGACAAUGGGGGCAACCCUGAUCCAGCCAUGCCGCGUGAGUGAUGAAGGCCUUAGGGUUGUAAAGCUCCUUUACCCGGGACGAUAAUGACUGUACCGGGAGAAUAAGCCCCGGCUAACUUCGUGCCAGCAGCCGCAGUAA